CGUUAAUGGCUCUGUCCGAAGCCAUUGGGUCGGCUGAACCCGAACGCUCCCUCACUCCCUCCUAUCCCUUGCUCUCUCUCCCCGUCCUCUCUCUUGCGGGCAUGGCGGCGGUGGUGGCUCCGGAUCCAUCGACGAGAGAGUGGUGGGGACAAGGCGUGGUGGAUAGAGCCAGUCACGGUGCCUGGCCGGCGUGGCAGGGGGCACCCACGGCGAGAAGGAAGAUUGUGCGGCCACAGCAUAUUCACCUAAGAGUAUUUCAUUGUCGCCAUAUUUGGAGCAAAUUCCUUUGAGCUACUGUCAAAUGGUAGUGGUCGAGACCCUAGGAGAGCUGCCUGCCUCUCUGUAUUAGCAAAUUUCGUUGGUGGAAUUCUAGGGUUCCAGAUUUGAAAACUAGGGUUUGCUAGAAUUCUAGCAAAUUUUGUUGUUAACUGAACCUAGUUAACUGGAUCUUAGUGUUUUUGACUGAACCUAGUUCUUAACCGAAUGUCAUUAACUGUAUUUUGCUGGAAUCCUAGCAAAUUAUGUUAUUAACUGAACCUAGUUAACUGAAUUUUGCUAUUUGUGACUGGUCUAGUUCUUAACUGAAUGCAGUUAGAUGUAUUUUGCUGGAAUUCUAGCAAAUUUUGUUGUUAACCGAACCUAGUUAAUUGAAUUUUGCUGUUUGUGACUGAACCUAGUUCUUAACUGAACCUAGAUAACCGUAUCUUGAUGUUUCUCACUGAACCUAGUUAUUAACUGAAUUACUGAACCUAGUUAACUGAAUCUUGUUGCUUGUCACUUAACCUAGGUGUUAACUGAAUCUUGUUGUUUGUCACUGAACCUAGUUGUUAACUGAACCUACUUAACUGAAUAUUGCUGUUUGUCACUGGACCUAGUUGUUAAGUGAACCUACUUAACUGAAUCUUGCUGUUUGUCACUGAAUUUUCAUGUCUUGUUUAACUGAAUUUUAGGGUUUUCAAAUGGUCAAUUAUUCUAGACUUAGUUACUUCACUUAUUGAUAGAUGUUGCUGAAUUAUCCUUGUGUACUGAAUCCAACUAACACUAAAUGCCAGUACUGAAAUUUGCAGGGUAUUGUGUAGUGGGUACAUGAGUUGAAUUUGGUUUGAGUGAUGCAGUGGACAAGUUGACCACAGAAAGAGUGCUUGGUAGCCAGAUCGAACACAGAUGGCGUACUGCUAAUUCAUUAACAUGAAUUUGUGCUAUUCCUUUGGAUUGAUGGAUAUUCUGUCAAAAUAAUUUACUUUUAGAUCUCUGUAUAGUACUGUACUGCCCAGGCUUAUCUGAAUGUAUUCUUAUUAUUACUUAACGGUGGGUUAAGAAACCAACCCUUGUAAGCUUCCCUGCUACUACACUGCUCGUUUUCAAACCUUCAGAAUUUGUAAAUCCUCUCGUAGGGAUGUUC